rnacentral:rRNA from 1 species
GACGAACGCUGGCGGCGUGCCUAACACAUGCAAGUCGAACGGAGUGAUGAUUUCGGUUAUCACUUAGUGGCGAACGGGUGAGUAACGCGUGAGAAACCUGCCUUUCAGUGGGGGACAACAGUUGGAAACGACUGCUAAUACCUCAUAAUCGCCAGUUUGGGGGCAUCCCUGGAUGACCAAAGAUUUAUUGCUGAAAGAUGGUCUCGCGUCUGAUUAGCUGGUUGGCGGGGUAACGGCCACCAAGGCGACGAUCAGUAGCCGGUCUGAGAGGAUGAACGGCCACAUUGGGACUGAGACACGGCCCAA